UACGUAGGGUGCAAGCGUUAAUCGGAAUUACUGGGCGUAAAGCGUGCGCAGGCGGUGAUGUAAGACCGAUGUGAAAUCCCCGGGCUUAACCUGGGAACUGCAUUGGUGACUGCAUUGCUAGAGUAUGGCAGAGGGGGGUGGAAUUCCACGUGUAGCAGUGAAAUGCGUAGAGAUGUGGAGGAACACCGAUGGCGAAGGCAGCCCCCUGGGCCAAUACUGACGCUCAUGCACGAAAGGCGUGGGGAGCAAACAGG
rnacentral:rRNA from 1 species